GAUGAACGCUGGCGGCGUGCCUAACACAUGCAAGUCGAGCGAGAACCGCUGGAAUGACACUUCGGUAGAAUGAAAGCGGGGAAAGCGGCGGACGGGUGAGUAACGCGUAGGUAACCUGCCCCAUACACAGGGAUAGCCUAGGGAAACCUGGAUUAAUACCUGAUGAAGCAACUGGUCGCAUGACCGGCUGCCAAAGAUUUAUCGGUAUGGGAUGGACCUGCGUCUGAUUAGUGAGUUGGUGGGGUAAUGGCCUACCAAAGCGACGAUCAGUAGCCGACCUGAGAGGGUGAUCGGCCACAUUGGAACUGAGACACGGUCCAAACUCCUGCGGGAGGCAGCAGUGGGGGAUAUUGCACAAUGGGCGGAAGCCUGAUGCAGCAACGCGCGUGAGCGAAGAAGGUCUUCGGAUCGUAAAGCUCUGUCCUGGGGAAGAAACAAAUGACGGUACCCGGGAGGAAGCCCCGGCUAACUACGUGCCAGCAGCCGCGGUAAACU
rnacentral:rRNA from 1 species